rnacentral:rRNA from 1 species
CGAUCUAGCUCAGGAUGAACGCUGGCGGCGUGCCUAAUACAUGCAAGUCGAACGGCAGUAGCAAUACUGUAGUGGCGAACGGGUGAGUAACACGUUGGUGACCUGCCCCAAAGAUGGGAAUAUCGACCUGGAAACGGGUGGCAAAACCGAAUAAGCUUAUACUGCUUAGAAAGGUAUAAGUAAAAGUGCAAACUACUUUGGGAGGGGCCUGCGGCCCAUCAGUUAGUUGGUGAGGGUAACGGCCCACCAAGACGAAGACGGGUAGGGGACCUGAGAGGGUGGUCCCCCACAAUGGAACUGAAACACGGUCCAUACACCUGCGGGUGGCAGCAGUAGGGAAUAUUGCUUAAUGGGCGAAAGCCUGAAGCAAGCAACGCCGCGUGGACGAAGGAGGCCUUCGGGUCGUAAAGUCCUUUUAUGUGUGAAGAGGAAGGACGGUAGCACAUGAAUAAGUCUCGGCUAACUACGUGCCAGCAGCAGC